UUGAAAUGUUUUGGGGAACUACUGUUGCUGGCCUUUUGUAACAAAAAGGCAUGUGCACGUAUUCUCUAAUCUAUUCAUCCACCUGUGCAUCUUUUGUAGGGGGUUCUUUUGGAUUGAUCGGUAGAUUUUCUCUACUGUUGAUUUGAAGGGAUUUCCUAUGUCUUAUAAACAAGUCAAGUAUGUUAUUGAAUGUCAUUUACUGGGGACUUUAUUGGACCCUUUAAAACUUUGUA
rnacentral:misc_RNA from 1 species